rnacentral:rRNA from 1 species
CGAUUCCGGAGAGGGAGCCUGAGAAACGGCUACCACAUCUAAGGAAGGCAGCAGGCGCGCAAAUUACCCAAUCCUAAUACAGGGAGGUAGUGACAAGAAAUAACAAUACAGGACUUUUUGGUUUUGUAAUUGGAAUGAGUUAAGUAUAAACCCCUUUACAAGUAUCAAUUGGAGGGCAAGUCUGGUGCCAGCAGCCGCGGUAAUUCCAGCUCCAAUAGCGUAUAUUAAAGUUGUUGCAGUUAAAAAGCUCGUAGUUGGAUUUCUGUUAAUAAUUUAUAUAAUAUAUUUUGAUAGAUAUUUAUAUAAUAUUAACAUAAUUCAUAUUACUAUUUUUUUUUAGUAUAUGAAAUUUUACUUUGAGAAAAUUAGAGUGCUUAAAGCAGGCAUAUGCCUUGAAUACUCCAGCAUGGAAUAAUAUUAAAGAUUUUUAUCUUUCUUAUUGGUUCUAAGAUAAGAAUAAUGAUUAAUAGGGACAGUUGGGGGCA